rfam:Nicotiana sylvestris Nsyl_contig33636, whole genome shotgun sequence.
GGAUGCGAUCAUACCAGCACUAACGCAUCGUCUCCCUUCAGAACUCCGAAGUGAAGCGUGCUUGGGCGAGAGUAGUACUAGGAUGGGUGGCCCCCUGGGAAGUCCUCGUGUUGCAUCCC